rnacentral:rRNA from 1 species
AUUGAACGCUGGCGGCAGGCCUAACACAUGCAAGUCGAGCGGGGUUUUCGGACCUAGCGGCGGACGGGUGAGUAAUGCGUAGGAAGCUACCCGAUAGAGGGGGAUACCAGUUGGAAACGACUGUUAAUACCGCAUAAUGUCUACGGACCAAAGUGUGGGACCUUCGGGCCACAUGCUAUCGGAUGCGCCUACGUGGGAUUAGCUAGUUGGUGGGGUAAUGGCUCACCAAGGCGACGAUCCCUAGCUGGUUUGAGAGGAUGAUCAGCCACACUGGACCUGGGAAACGGUCCAGACUCCUACGGGAGGCAGCAGUGGGGAAUAUUGGACAAUGGGCGCAAGCCUGAUCCAGCCAUGCCGCGUGUGUGAAGAAGGCCUUCGGGUUGUAAAGCACUUUCAGUAGGGAGGAAGGAUGUUGUGUGUUAAUAGUACACAGCGUUGACGUUACCUACAGAAGAAGCACCGGCUAACUCUGUGCCAGCAGCCGCCGUAAGAC